rnacentral:rRNA from 1 species
UUCCUACGGGAGGCAGCAGUAGGGAAUCUUCCACAAUGGACGAAAGUCUGAUGGAGCAACGCCGCGUGAGUGAAGAAGGGUUUCGGCUCGUAAAGCUCUGUUGGUAGUGAAGAAAGAUAGAGGUAGUAACUGGCCUUUAUUUGACGGUAAUUACUUAGAAAGUCACGGCUAACUACGUGCCAGCAGCCGCGGUAAUACGUAGGUGGCCAGCGUUGUCCGGAUUUAUUGGGCGUAAAGCGAGUGCAGGCGGUU